UAGUGAAUCUUCCGCAAUGGGCGAAAGCCUGACGGAGCAACGCCGCGUGAGUGAUGAAGGUCUUCGGAUCGUAAAACUCUGUUAUUAGGGAAGAACAAAUGUGUAAGUAACUAUGCACGUCUUGAUGGUACCUAAUCAGAAAGCCACGGCUAACUACGUGCCAGCAGCCGCGGUAAUACGUAGGUGGCAAGCGUUAUCCGGAAUUAUUGGGCGUAAAGCGCGCGUAGGCGGUUUUUUAAGUCUGAUGUGAAAGCCCACGGCUCAACCGUGGAGGGUCAUUGGAAACUGGAAAACUUGAGUGCAGAAGAGGAAAGGUGAAUUCCAUGUGUAGCGGUGAAAUGCGCAGAGAUAUGGAGGAACACCAGUGGCGAAGGCGACUUUCUGGUCUGUAACUGACGCUGAUGUGCGAAAGCGUGAGGAUCAAACAGG
rnacentral:rRNA from 1 species